rnacentral:rRNA from 1 species
UACGUAGGGUGCGAGCGUUAAUCGGAAUUACUGGGCGUAAAGCGUGCGCAGGCGGUUUUGUAAGGCAGAUGUGAAAUCCCCGGGCUUAACCUGGGAAUGGCAUUUGGGACUGCAAGGCUGGAGUGCGGCAGAGGUGACUGGAAUUCCCGGUAUAGCAGUGAAAUGCGUAGAUAUCGGGAGGAAUACCGAUGGCGAAGGCAGGUCUCUGGGCUGACACUGACGCUCAUGCACGAAAGCGUGGGGAGCAAACAGG